ACCUGACUGCUAUCGGAUUGAUACUAAGCCAUGCGAGUCAUUGUAGCAAUACAAGGCAUACGGCUCAGUAACGCGUAGUCAACCUAACCUAUGGACGGGAAUAACCUCGGGAAACUGAGAAUAAUGCCCGAUAGAACAUUAUGCCUGGAAUGGUUUAUGUUCCAAAUGAUUUAUCGCCAUAGGAUGGGACUGCGGCCUAUCAGUUUGUUGGUGAGGUAAUGGCCCACCAAGACUAUUACAGGUACGGGCUCUGAGAGGAGUAGCCCGGAGAUGGGUACUGAGACACGGACCCAGGCCCUAUGGGGCGCAGCAGGCGAGAAAACUUUGCAAUGUGCGAAAGCACGACAAGGUUAAUCCGAGUGAUUUCUGCUAAAGAGAUCUUUUGUUAGUCCUAGAAACACUAACGAAUAAGGGGUGGGCAAGUUCUGGUGUCAGCCGCCGCGGUAAAACCAGCACCUCAAGUGGUCAGGAUGAUUAUUGGGCCUAAAGCAUCCGUAGCCGGCUCUGUAAGUUUUCGGUUAAAUCUGUACGCUCAACGUACAGGCUGCCGGGAAUACUGCAGAACUAGGGAGUGGGAGAGGUAGACGGUACUCGGUAGGAAGUGGUAAAAUGCUUUGAUCUAUCGAUGACCACCUGUGGCGAAGGCGGUCUACCAGAACACGUCCGACGGUGAGGGAUGAAAGCUGGGGGAGCAAACCGGAUUAGAUACCCGGGUAGUCCCAGCUGUAAACUAUGCAAACUCAGUGAUGCAUUGGCUUGUGGCCAAUGCAGUGCUGCAGGGAAGCCGUUAAGUUUGCCGCCUGGGAAGUACGUACGCAAGUAUGAAACUUAAAGGAAUCGGCGGGGGAGCACCACAAGGGGUGAAGCCUGCGGUUC
rnacentral:rRNA from 1 species